rnacentral:lncRNA from 1 species
CGAACCCUAGCCGUCGCUUGUCAUUCCUACAAUUUUUCUUAACUAUACUUUAUUGAUAACUGCAGAAAGGGCAAUUCAAGCAGUUCAAAUAUAGCUUUGCACAAGAGGUAAAUGUUCUAGAUUUGUCUGCCAUUUUUUUCUUUAUUGUUUGUCUUGUGGUGUAAAGUUCUGCUAUUGUCCCCAACUAGUUUGAUGAAUAACUGGA